CGUAGGUCCCGAGCGUUGUCCGGAUUUAUUGGGCGUAAAGGGAGCGCAGGCGGUCAGGAAGUCUGGAGUAAAGGCUAUGGCUCAACCAUAGUGUGCUCUGGAAACUGUCUGACUUGAGUGCAGAAGGGGAGAGUGGAAUUCCAUGUGUAGCGGUGAAAUGCGUAGAUAUAUGGAGGAACACCAGUGGCGAAAGCGGCUCUCUGGUCUGUCACUGACGCUGAGGCUCGAAAGCGUGGUAGCGAACAGGAUU
rnacentral:rRNA from 1 species